rnacentral:misc_RNA from 1 species
UAAUAAUGAAGUGAUCUGGUCUUCCCACGGGUAUAUAAAUGAAAAGAAACAAGACUAAUGCAAUCAAUUAUCAUUUCCUUAUUUGAAAGAUUCACUAACUAAAAUCGCAGGUAAGUAACUAAUCCAUAAAAAUAAAUACAUAAAGCCAGCUUCGAAACUUCAACCACAUAAUAUAAACACACAUGCUACUGAUUUGAUUCUGAUAGAUGAAACAGCAAAUCCUCAACCAGAUAAUAUAAACAACCAUGCUACCGGUUCAAUAGUGAUAGACAAAACAGCAAAUCCUCUAUA